UUUCCCCUCCUUUAGCCAACUGGAGAAUGGAUGUUCUGGUGUUUUCGUAAUGGUGUUUCUACUUGAUUUACAUCGUAAGCAGUUUUCUUUUUUCCAGGUUAAUCUUGUAAGAACUAAAGAAAACUUACCAAUAUCCGUUCUGCUUGCAAAGAUGAAAAUGUGAAGCUAUCUCCACCUCGACUUAGAUGAGUCUUGAAGAAGUGAUAAGAUAUGUUGCAUCUGAUGAACUUAUUAAGACCAUAUUGAAAAAAAAAUGCAGCAAAAUAGAAAGGAAAA